rnacentral:rRNA from 1 species
AACGAACGCUGGCGGCAGGCUUAACACAUGCAAGUCGAACGGAUCCUUCGGGAUUAGUGGCAGACGGGUGAGUAACGCGUGGGAACGUACCCUUUGCUACGGAAUAACUCAGGGAAACUUGAGCUAAUACCGUAUGUGCCCUACGGGGGAAAGAUUUAUCGGCAAAGGAUCGGCCCGCGUUGGAUUAGCUAGUUGGUGGGGUAAUGGCCUACCAAGGCGACGAUCCAUAGCUGGUCUGAGAGGAUGAUCAGCCACACUGGGACUGAGACACGGCCCAGACUCCUACGGGAGGCAGCAGUGGGGAAUAUUGGACAAUGGGCGCAAGCCUGAUCCAGCCAUGCCGCGUGAGUGAUGAAGGUCUUAGGAUUGUAAAGCUCUUUAACCGGUGAAGAUAAUGACGGUAGCCGGAGAAGAAGCCCCGGCUAACUUCGUG